UGCAAUGGAGCACUGAAAAAUCAACACUAGGUAACGCUGGCCAAUUUGCUGUGUAAUGGCAGAGUACAGGUCUAAUUAUAUCAUUAUGUAGGACAAUGACACAUCUCUGCUCAUCAUACAAUGCUUGUAGCUACUAGAAAUACGUGUCUGUUUCAUCACAACAGGCUUACAUUGCUGACACAGUUAUCCAAAACAACCUUCAUUCACUUUAGAGUCUAGGCAGUAGCAGGUAAAGUUUCCUUCACAAGAGCAUGUACUCGUGCCACCUGGGAUAAGAAUCAUCAAACAUGAUUGCAGAGUACAUGGGCAAAGAUCUGUCUUUCCUAAAAACACAGGUUGUUGUAUAACAACAUUUUAAAUCAUUCCUUGUAAAAAAAAAGAAGUUAUAAUUCCAACACCCUUUGAACACCCGCUGUAAAGUAAUAACUAUGCAAAUGUCAUCUAAUGUGUCCAAAAAACAUAUGUAAAAUGAAAAUCCCAAAAAUUACACACAACAAAUAUUAAAAUAACAUUCUUGCACAGUGUAGACCUAAUAGAUACAAAAUGCAGCAAGGAUGGUUUGGUAGUAAAUUAUAUUCCUAUUCCGCCUAUAGAAAACACAAAAAAAGGAUAUACCACAUGUAGGGUAUUUUUGAAUAGGAGGAAACUGAGUUACUUGUCAGAAUUCUGAAUACUUACACAAGUACUAAAUGUAUGUAUGUAGCUUCAUAUUUAUCAACACCAUGAACUUUUGUAUAUUAAUUAACAAACAUCACACCACCACCCAUCUAUUGUAGGCUGGGUGAAAAUCUCUAAUGAAAGUCAACCUUGAAACAGAACAUUGUAUAUAAGAGGGUAAACUCAAGGCUGUCUGCAGGCUCAGUAAGGCCAUCCCAUUCUAUACAUGCCAGGUUAGGAAUUAGUGAUGUUUUUUGUGGAACUAUUUCAAUAUUUUAAUGUAUAGACAAAUAGUAUAUAAUAAUCCAUAAAACAAAACACCUUCUGUCAUCAUUAUGCCAAUCUGGUGAGGAGACAAAAUAAUUGGUUGCAGCACAAAGAACUGGUAUAAUAGAGGCAAUGUUUUAACCAAGAGUUGUGUUCAAAAACAGCUUGGUUUGGACAGCGUAAGUGACGAUGGUAUAAUAGCUAUGGGGUUCAAUAUGUGCAACAUGUCCGAUCAGAUAUCAAUGCAAUAUCACUGUGAAUCACUGGGGCAUCUGGUCUUCAAGAUCUCUCUGAAACAAUAUCCUCCUGAUCCCAACCCCCUUGUUGCUUCCUGGUUACAAACUGUAGGCUACAAACCAACAGCAUAUCCAUAUAAUGUAUUUUAUUAUGUAUCAUCAGUAGGGACAGGAGUUUUCCGGAUCACUUGACUUGACCAAGUAACCUCUGGGUCCUAGUUGUCAGACAUAACAAGAAACACUUUUCCGCUUCGGUCUUUACCAUAUCCUUGUCUUUUCAGAAUUGGGCUUACAGUAAGCUAAAUAGUUGCCAUAGGAUAUAGUAGAUGAGAUUUAUUAACAUCACUUCAGUUCAUACCUAAACUGACUGUUAGAAUAUGUAUAGUCCUCCAUUUUGAAGGAGAGUAAGAACAGGGAGUUCUAUUAUGUGCAAAAGACGAAACAUGCAGGAAAUAACACGAUGGGGAGUACUGUUGAAAUCAUUGAAUCAAGAAGGGCUUUCAUCUAUGAAUUACAAUUACAUGAUUGAAAAACUAUGAAAAGAGUCAUCUUUUGUGGUUCCUGCUGAGAUAGAGAUGUUGUCCAUGGACUAUCCAGACCACCCUGAAACAUACACAAUAGAACCAUCUACAAUGUAUGUACUAUAAGUCCCAAUGUAUUAUGUGAUUAAUUAAUUCAUUGACUUCAAAAGAAAAUACAAAAUAAAUUACUGUCCCAGAUUGCUGUAGUAAAAAAGUUCAUUUAAAUUGCACUUUGUCUUGCUCCAAAGGCAUACUUAUGCACUAGUCAGGAUGUCAGCUCCAGCGAGGUAGAAUUCUGGGUACCCCUACAGUAAUAAGCAAUAGUGACAUUGUUAUUCACACAUUUGAUCAAAAACAGUGUCUCAGCUGAAAUGACUUGUCUCUCUGUACCCUCUAAAUUUAUCUUAGGGAUUCAACUUACGACUCCCAAUUUAGCUCAAAAUGAGAUAUGAGACAAGAUUUGUGAAAAAAAUAGUAAUGUGCUUUGUUCAUGCGAGUCUGUGAUUUUCAUUCUUUAAUGUAAGGCUGGCCAGCUGAAACAGGGUGAAGGGAGAGGAGUGAAUGUGUGGGAGAGGGAAAGAGGAAAAAGGCAAGGUUUCCAAGAGAGGAAAUGCCAAGGCUAAAGCAUUUUUUUAAAAUUAAGGUUACAAACAGUGAACAGAGUAAUAAAUAGUUUUUCCACCUAUGGCUGGGAUUUGAACCCACUGCAGUUUUGGCCGAUUGAUACAGUAUUACCACUUUAAUAGGUAUUUGGUAGCAUUGCCUUUAAAUUGUUUAACUUGGGUCAAACGUUUUGGCUAGCCUUCCACAAGCUAAAUGAGGUGAUAUCUCAUUAAACAUGCACAUAUUUGCAUAUCCUGCAAAUCCAUUUUUUUGGUCUCUGUGAAGUGAGCCUUAAAAUGUUGGUUUCCUUUUUUUGAGAAGCUACAGGACCAGACAUUUACAUUUCUAUCUGUAAAAUACUGAAGUCGUGUACAUGAAGUCGGUCCCUCUCCUUGUUCGGGCGGUUUUCGGCGGUCGACGUCACGACCUUCUAGCCAUCACUGAUCCAUUUUUCAUUUUCCAUUGGUUUUGUCUUGUCUUCCUUCACACCUGGUUCCAAUCCCAUCCCACAUGUUGUUUAUUUCACCCUCUGUUUCCCCUCAUGUCCUUGUCGGAGAUUGUUUGACUGUAUGUUAUGUGCAAGUUAUGUUUUGGUGUGCGACGGGUUUUGUACCCACUUUUAUUAUUUUGGUUUUCGGAGUUUUGUGAGCACCAUCUGUAGCCGCAGCGGUCACACUGCCGGUCGGUGCCGGGUUGGUUCCUCUGGGAAUCGAGGCAGCAGGCAGGGCGCUCUGGCGUCACCCCAGUGCAUACUGGGCUAUCAGCCGGUUCUGGCUCCUUGGCAUCAAAGUCAGACCGAGGCUCCUGCGGUGGACGACUGGUUCCGGCGCGCGACGGAAACAUGGGACGCCGCCCAUGUCCACCUUCAGCACGCUGUGACUGCCACUGCAGUGAGGCCCCGGUGGACCGGGUCUGGCUCUUGACCCGAAACCUUCCCCUCCGCCUGCCCUGUAGGAAGAUGGGUCCGUGGUUUGUAGGGCCAUUUAAAGUCCUGAGGAGAGUGAACAAGGUUUGUUAUAGGUUACAGCUUCCCCCCCAAUUACCGUAUUAACCCCUCAUUCCAUGUGUCUCUCCUCAGGUCGGUGGUGGCGGGCCCGCUCCAGGAGUCUGAGGUGCGGGAGGUUCCUCCAUCCCCUCUGGACAUCAAGGGGGCCCCGGCGUACUCCAUUCAUUCCAUACUGGAUUCGAGACGUCAGGCAAGGGGCCUUCAGUACCUCGUGGACUGGGAGGGGUAUGGUCCGGAGGAGAGAUGCUGGGUCCCGGUGGAGGAACGGCUCCAUCACUCUCUUUCUUGAUCAAAUAUCCCUUGCACAGCCUGGAGGUGUGUUGGGUCAUUGUCCUUUUGAAAGACAAAUGAUAGUCCCACUAAGCGCAAACCAGAUGGGAUGGCGUAUAGCUGUAUAAUGCUGUGGUAGCCAUGCUGGUUAAGUGUGCCUUGAAUAAAUCGCAGACAGUGUAACCAGCAAAGCACCCCCACACCAUCACAACUCCUCCUCUGUGCUUAGUGGUGGGAACCACACAUGAGACCAUCCAUUCACCUACUCUGCGUCUCACAAUGACACGGCGGUUGUACUCAUCAGACCAAAGGACAGAUUUCCACUGAUCUAAUGUCCAUUGCUCGUGUUUCUUGGCCCAAGAAAGUCUCUUCUUAUUGUUGGUGUCCUUUAGUGGCAAUUCAACCAUGAAGGCCUGAUUCACACAGUCUCCUCUGAACAGUUGAUGUUGAGAUGUGUCUGUUACUUGAAAUAUGUGAAGCUCUUAUAAAGGAUUGUCAUUGUAUAUUGCAUAACGCCUGGCAGGUACCUUUUGGCAAAGGAACCUCUUGUUUAGGACUAUCAUAGGAAUAUCAUUGACCGAAAGCUCAUUCACUAUUAAAGAAAAGUGCAUCUG